AAAAGCACAUUCCCUCACACACACUUUGCAUAUUCAGAACCUACAAACCACUCCUUGACAGGUACAAAUUUCUAAAUGCCACAUACUCCAAAUCGCGGACAAAAAUGUUCUCACACACACACACACACACACACACACACACACACACACACACACACACACACACACACACACA